GACGAACGCUGGCGGCGUGCCUAAUACAUGCAAGUAGGACGCAGUUGCGAACGGGUGAGUAACGCGUCGGUCACUGCCUAUUAGAGGGGGAUAACUAUUUGAAACGAUAGCUAAUACCGCCUACUAGUAGAUGGACCUUCGUUGUAUUAGCUAGUAUGUAGGGUAAUGGCCUACCUAGGCGACGAUACAUAGCCGACCUGAAAGGGUGAUCGGCCACACUGGGACUGAGACACGGCCCAGACUCCUACGGGAGGCAGCAGUAGGGAAUAUUCGGCAAUGGGGGGAACACUGACCGAGCAAAGACGCGUGAGUGAAGAAGGUUUUCGGAUCGUAAAGCUCUGUUGUUAAGGAAGCGGUACUUAACCAGAAAGGGACGGCUAACUACGUGCCAGCAGCCGCGGUAAUAC
rnacentral:rRNA from 1 species